rnacentral:misc_RNA from 1 species
UAAUAAGUGUUUUAUGGCACUUUUUAAAUCCAUAUCCACCUUGUGUGCAAUGUCAGUCGAUCUUCUUCAUGGAGAUCGACCAAACAUCAACCUUUAUCUUUUAACUCUUUGUUUGAAAAAUAUUAUGAAUAAACAAUUCAAAAUA